rnacentral:rRNA from 1 species
AGGGCGCACGGUGAAUGCCUUGGCACUAGGAGCCGAUGAAGGACGGGACUAACACCGAUAUGCUUCGGGGAGCUGUAAGUGAGCUUUGAUCCGGAGAUUUCCGAAUGGGGAAACCCACUGUUCGUAAUGGAACAGUAUCUUUAUCUGAAUACAUAGGAUAUUGAAGGCAGACCCGGGGAACUGAAACAUCUAAGUACCCGGAGGAAGAGAAAGCAAAUGCGAUUUCCUGAGUAGCGGCGAGCGAAACGGAAUUAGCCCAAACCAAGAGGCUUGCCUCUUGGGGUUGUAGGACACUCUAUACGGAGUUACAAAGGAACGAAGUAAAUGAAGCGACCUGGAAAGGUCCGUCGAAGAAGGUAACAACCCUGUAGUUGAAACUUCGUUCCCUCUUGAGUGGAUCCUGAGUACGGCGGAACACGUGAAAUUCCGUCGGAAGCUGGGAGGACCAUCUCCCAAGGCUAAAUACUACCUAGUGACCGAUAGUGAACCAGUACCGUGAGGGAAAGGUGAAAAGCACCCCGGAAGGGGAGUGAAAGAGAUCCUGAAACCGUGUGCCUACAAGUAGUCAGAGCCCGUUAACGGGUGAUGGCGUGCCUUUUGUAGAAUGAACCGGCGAGUUACGAUCCCAUGCAAGGUUAAGCUGAUAAGGCGGAGCCGUAGCGAAAGCGAGUCUGAAUAGGGCGUUUAGUAUGUGGUUGUAGACCCGAAACCAGGUGAUCUACCCAUGUCCAGGGUGAAGUUCAGGUAACACUGAAUGGAGGCCCGAACCCACGCACGUUGAAAAGUGCGGGGAUGAGGUGUGGGUAGCGGAGAAAUUCCAAUCGAACCUGGAGAUAGCUGGUUCUCUCCGAAAUAGCUUUAGGGCUAGCCUCAUGUUGUGAGAGUCUUGGAGGUAGAGCACUGAUUGGACUAGGGGCCCCCAACGGGUUACCGAAUUCAGUCAAACUCCGAAUGCCAAAGACUUAUCCAUGGGAGUCAGACUGCGAGUGAUAAGAUCCGUAGUCAAAAGGGAAACAGCCCAGACCACCAGCUAAGGUCCCCAAGUAUACGUUAAGUGGAAAAGGAUGUGGAGUUGCUUAGACAACCAGGAUGUUGGCUUAGAAGCAGCCACCAUUUAAAGAGUGCGUAAUAGCUCACUGGUCGAGUGACUCUGCGCCGAAAAUGUACCGGGGCUAAACGUAUCACCGAAGCUGUGGAUUGACAUCUUAGAUGUCAGUGGUAGGAGAGCGUUCUAAGUGCAGCGAAGUCAGACCGUAAGGACUGGUGGAGCGCUUAGAAGUGAGAAUGCCGGUAUGAGUAGCGAAAGACAAGUGAGAAUCUUGUCCACCGAAUGCCUAAGGUUUCCUGAGGAAGGCUCGUCCGCUCAGGGUUAGUCGGGACCUAAGCCGAGGCUGAAAAGCGUAGGCGAUGGCCAACAGGUUGAUAUUCCUGUACCACCUCCCCGCCGUUUGAGUAAUGGGGGGACGCAGUAGGAUAGGGUAAGCGCGCUGCUGGAUAUGCGCGUUCAAGCAGUUAGGCUGAUGAGUAGGCAAAUCCGCUCAUCAUAAAGGCUGAGCUGUGAUGACGAGGGAAUUAUAGUACCGAAGUUCCUGAUUCCACACUGCCAAGAAAAGCCUCUAGCGAGGCGGGAGGUGCCCGUACCGCAAACCGACACAGGUAGGCGAGGAGAGAAUCCUAAGGUGAUCGAGAGAACUCUCGUUAAGGAACUCGGCAAAAUGACCCCGUAACUUCGGGAGAAGGGGUGCUCUGGUAGGGUGUAUAGCCCGAGAGAGCCGCAGUGAAUAGGCCCAGGCGACUGUUUAGCAAAAACACAGGUCUCUGCGAAGCCGCAAGGCGAAGUAUAGGGGCUGACGCCUGCCCGGUGCUGGAAGGUUAAGAGGAGGGGUUAUCCUUUGGGAGAAGCUCUGAAUCGAAGCCCCAGUAAACGGCGGCCGUAACUAUAACGGUCCUAAGGUAGCGAAAUUCCUUGUCGGGUAAGUUCCGACCCGCACGAAAGGCGUAACGAUCUGGGCACUGUCUCAACGAGAGACUCGGUGAAAUUAUAGUACCUGUGAAGAUGCAGGUUACCCGCGACAGGACGGAAAGACCCCGUGGAGCUUUACUGUAGCCUGAUAUUGAAUUUUGGUACAGCUUGUACAGGAUAGGUAGGAGCCUGAGAAGCCGGAGCGCUAGCUUCGGUGGAGGCGUCGGUGGGAUACUACCCUGGCUGUAUUGAAAUUCUAACCCGCGGCCCUGAUCGGGCCGGGAGACAGUGUCAGGUGGGCAGUUUGACUGGGGCGGUCGCCUCCUAAAAUGUAACGGAGGCGCCCAAAGGUUCCCUCAGAAUGGUUGGAAAUCAUUCGUAGAGUGUAAAGGCACAAGGGAGCUUGACUGCGAGACCUACAAGUCGAGCAGGGACGAAAGUCGGGCUUAGUGAUCCGGUGGUUCCGCAUGGAAGGGCCAUCGCUCAACGGAUAAAAGCUACCCCGGGGAUAACAGGCUUAUCUCCCCCAAGAGUCCACAUCGACGGGGAGGUUUGGCACCUCGAUGUCGGCUCAUCGCAUCCUGGGGCUGUAGUCGGUCCCAAGGGUUGGGCUGUUCGCCCAUUAAAGCGGUACGCGAGCUGGGUUCAGAACGUCGUGAGACAGUUCGGUCCCUAUCCGUCGUGGGCGUAGGAAAUUUGAGAGGAGCUGUCCUUAGUACGAGAGGACCGGGAUGGACACACCGCUGGUGUACCAGUUGUCUUGCCAAAGGCAUCGCUGGGUAGCUAUGUGUGGACGGGAUAAGUGCUGAAAGCAUCUAAGCAUGAAGCCCCCCUCAAGAUGAGAUUUCCCAUAGCGCAAGCUAGU